rnacentral:lncRNA from 1 species
UAAGAACCCUGGCUGCAGCAUUGCUUUCUGUUUCCACUUCUAUUCGAUCAAGCACUUUGAAGGGCCUGUAGCUCAGGAAAAGUGUGCUGUGAGAAAAGAAGUAUAGUGUAGGCUGUUGUGCUUUGUUUAUUUUAAAAUUAGUUUUUCUUUCUCAAAUGCAGCUUCAGUCAGAUGCUUGUGUUCUCAUGUUGCAGCUUAUGAGCUGCAAUGUAAAAAGAAAAAAAUGGAAAUGAUUAGCUGAAUAUUUAAAGUGAGUAUGGACUAUUGCUGAGAAGAUCUAAGAAAAUAUUAAGAUUAUAAAAACAAUGUAAUAUCUGCUGGAAUGAAUAAGAAAUACUAUGCAAUACCUAUAGUAAAAAAAACUAUUAUUAUCUAAGAAUCUUG